UAAAGCUCUUGAUUCUCUUGCAAAAGUUGAAUUCCAUGAAGAAGAAAAUUCUUGGAAUUUGUUUUGGACACCAGGAGAAGGGCUUCUGCAACAAAUUGAACAGUCUAGUACCAAGUUUCUGGUGGGGAAGAAAAGAUUUGCUGGAUAAGAUGGGAAAAAGCUGCUUGCCCCAAAUUUAUGGGAGGUAUGGGAUUCAAGGACUUUGAGAAGUUUAAUCUAGCUUGUCUGGCGAAGCAAGGGUGGCGCCUCAUGUCUUCUCCACAGUAUUUAUGGGCGAGAGCUAUUAAAGGGAUUUAUUUUCCCUAUUCGAAUUUUUGCAAGCUAGGAAACCAAGAAAGGGGUAUUGGAUAUGGCAUAGUCUUCUGGAAGGGAGAGAAAUUCUCAAGGAAGGUAUUCGACAUAACAUAGGAGAUGGGUGCAGCACAUUCAUUUGGGACAACCCCUGGACCCCGUCCAGCAAUAGCUUCAGAGUUGAGAGACCGAAUCAUUGCCCUCCGAAUAUAAAUAGAGUGGCAGAUUUAAUUGAUCACUCAAAUCUUUCGUGGAAAGAAGACUUGAUUUCAACUUUGUUUAAUCAGGAUAAAGCUCAAAUGAUAGGGGCUAUUCCAGUGGCACCUGUGGGAAAUGAUGAUUCUUUAGUGUGGCACUUUGAGAUGGAAGUUAAUUAUACUGUUAAAUCAGGGUACAAAUUACAAAUGGCGAGAGCAAUGCAAGAUCCUCCUAUCAGACCAUCCAUAUCUCAAUAUAUUCAUCCUUCGAUUUGGAGAUUCCUACGGGGAUUUCAGGUUCCACCCAAGGUGAAAGUUUUUAUGUGGAGAGUUUUACUUGAUGCCCUUCCUGUGAAAAGCAAGUUGUGCAGUAGGGGCAUUGAUGUUAACUCUUAGUGUCCUACAUGUGAGAGAGAUUCUGAAACUAUUGAACACAUUGUUUUGGUGUGAUCAUGCAAGAGCAGCUUGGUUCUUAAGUCCUUGUGCUUUCAAACCCAAUCCUCUUAGUUUUCCAUCAGUUUUUCAGUGGUGGUCCAAUCUAUGUGGUCAGGUGGGAAAUGGCCUUUUCCAAGAGGAAGUGUUAAAUAUGGCAGCAAUCACAUGCUGGCAAAUUUGGAAAGAAAGGAAAAGUGCAGUUUUUGAACAGAGCAAGCCGGAUCCAAUGGCCACCCGAAGGAGAAUUAAUAGUUAAUUAGAAGAGCUGAAGUGGAACCAACGAAUCUCAAAUCCUUUUUACAGUAACGUUGAGCCUCAUCUUGGUGAUCAUAUGCAAAAAUGGUCCCCUCCUUCCAUAGGAAGCCUCAAGCUUAACUGUGAUGUAGCUUGGAAAGAGGGAGCUACUUUUUCCUCCAUAGCUGUGAUGGUAAGAGAUCACUUGGAGAGAAUUGUGGGUGGUAUUGUGAGGAAGCACAAAUGUUUGACCAAUUUAGCAGGUGAAGCAAAGGCUCUUCUAGAAGCAAUCUUGCUAGCAAAAGCAAGAGGUUUUAGAUCAAUCAUAUUAGAAUCAGAUUCUCAAAAAAAUAAUUAUUAAAAAAAUAAUUAAAU
rnacentral:misc_RNA from 1 species